GACGAACGCUGGCGGCGUGCUUAACACAUGCAAGUCGAACGGUGAAGCGCCUUCCGUUUUGGUGGGUGUGGAAGAGUGGCGAACGGGUGAGUAACACGUGAGUAACCUGCGCCAUUCUUCUGGAUAACCGCAUGAAAGUGUGGCUACUACGGAAUGUUCGGGGCAGGUGACAUGAUGGGUCUGGGAGAGUUAUGGUUUCGGUGGGGGAUGGGGUCGCGGCCUAUAAGAUUGUUGGUGGAGUGAUGGCCUACCAGGGCGUUGACGGGUAGCAGGCAUGAGAGGGUGGACGGUCACAGUGGGACUGAGAGGCGGACAAGACUCCUACGGGCGGCAGCAGGGGGGAUUAUUGCACAAUGGGCGCAAGCAUGAUGCAGCGACGCCGCGUGGGGGAUGGAGGCCUUCGGGUUGUGAACCUCUUUCGGCAGUGAAGCAGGCCUGCCUCGUUUGUGGGUGGGUUGACGGUAGCUUGAUAAGAAGCGCCGGCUAACUACGUG
rnacentral:rRNA from 1 species